rnacentral:rRNA from 1 species
ACGGAAGGCAGCAGUGGGGAAUAUUGCACAAUGGGGGAAACCCUGAUGCAGCGACGCCGCGUGAGUGAAGAAGUAUUUCGGUAUGUAAAGCUCUAUCAGCAGGGAAGAAAUUGACGGUACCUGACUAAGAAGCCCCGGCUAACUACGUGCCAGCAGCCGCGGUAAUACGUAGGGGGCAAGCGUUAUCCGGAUUUACUGGGUGUAAAGGGAGCGUAGACGGUCGUGCAAGUCUGAAGUGAAAGCUUGCGGCUUAACCAUGGAACUGCUUUGGAAACUGUGCGACUAGAGUACCGGAGGGGUAAGCGGAAUUCCUAGUGUAGCGGUGAAAUGCGUAGAUAUUAGGAAGAACACCGGUGGCGAAGGCGGCUUACUGGACGGUAACUGACGUUGAGGCUCGAAAGCGUGGGGAGCAAACAGGAUUAGAUACCCUGGUA